CCUACGGGGGGCUGCAGUGAGGAAUAUUGGUCAAUGGGCGCGAGCCUGAACCAGCCAAGUCGCGUGAGGGAGGACGGCCCUACGGGUUGUAAACCUCUUUUGCCGGGGAGCAACGGGCGUCACGUGUGGCGCCACUGAGAGUACCCGAAGAAAAAGCAUCGGCUAACUCCGUGCCAGCAGCCGCGGUAAUACGGAGGAUGCGAGCGUUAUCCGGAUUUAUUGGGUUUAAAGGGUGCGUAGGCGGAACGUUAAGUCAGCGGUCAAAUUGCGGGGCUCAACCCCUUCCCGCCAUUGAAACUGGCGUUCUUGAGUGGAAGAGAAGUAUGCGGAAUGCGUGGUGUAGCGGUGAAAUGCAUAGAUAUCACGCAGAACCCCGAUUGCGAAGGCAGCAUGCCGGCUUCCGACUGACGCUGAAGCACGAAAGCGUGGGGAUCGAACAGGAUUAGAUACCCGUGUAGUC
rnacentral:rRNA from 1 species